GGGCCUAUAGCUCAGUUGGUUAGAGCAGCGGACUCAUAAUCCGUUGGUCGCAGGUUCAAGUCCUGCUGGGCCCACCA
rnacentral:tRNA from 5 species